UACAACAGCCACACCCUGCCUUUAAGAAGCUGACAGUCUAGGAGAGGAGAGGAGAUGUAAAGUGAAAUAUUCUCAGCCUAAGAAGGGAUGGGUUAAGAAUAUCACACGAGAGGCAGAAACAAGAUGCCUUAGAAAUUCAAAGAAGAAAGAUCAUUGUGGAGUUAGAGCAGUCAUCGACGUGAAAUCGUACGAGAGAGACUUGCACACCUACCCCUGUGGAGCGUGCACCCUAUAAGGGAGAAGUCGCCACACUGAAAUCCAGAGUGACAAAAGAAGAUGCCACAGCAGGGACCAGGAAACAGGCCCACCCCUGAAGUGUGAGCUGUUGCAGUGUUGCAGGGUAUAACCAGCUACGGAGCAGCAGUGGACCCAAUUCCACGGCACGCAGUGGAGGAGGCGUCACUGCAGAAAGUUAGGACCCCAGUUUGUAGAAGGGCCCAUACUGAGGCUGGGCAGAGACUCUGCCAACCAACAGAUUAAAGGGGAGAACGGUGAACUGGCCGGCACAGCACACAGUGGCUGUUCCACGUGUCAGCCCUGGACCCACUGUCUUGGGAGGAGAUGAUCCAAGGACCCCAGGGGCGC
rnacentral:sRNA from 1 species